AUGGUUGAUCAGAAAUCUAGAAGCAUAGAGAUCUGGAUGAUGAACUUACUGCUAUAA
rnacentral:antisense_RNA from 1 species